UAAAUCUCCAGUGUGUGUUCUGAGAGUCUUGAACUAAUGAGAUCCUGGUAAACAGCCUGAAAUGGACUUUGCAGAUUCUACAUAAAGCAUCAACUGAUUUUCUCAGCACACAUUAUCAAAUUCCCUUCCCAUUUAAAGUUUGCUUUUUAUCAGAUGUAACCCUUUCCUGAGCCUGUGUUGUGAAUAUUUACAAAUGAUGCAGUCUGUGAGAUUCUUCAAAUACACAGGAGAGAGAUACAAGGCCACUCUGUGUGUUUACAUAACAUGUUUCUUUCCUGAAAAUGUCUCUGAAGAAUCACCAGUUUUUUGAAGAAUCACCAGUAUGGUUACUUGGAAGUAGUCAAGAUCUUGGACAAAGCAGUUUCUUCAGGUGAAGCAAUUCCCAAGAAGGGUUGGUGUGGGAGACUAUAUUCUGCCAGCGAAUGAAGGAAUAGUCUUACAUUCUUAAAGGGAUAUUUGAACAUCACAGGGCCACCACACUAUAUCAUUACUUUUUUUUCCUUUGCAAUUUGAGUCUCCAGUGCAUAAGGACUACUUCUGUCACUUCAUAUUUUAAAAUCAUUAAGCAAUAAACAAAAGUGACAAUGCAUACAUAUUUGCUCUGCUUAUAUUUUUAAAUGAUAUUUACUCAAGCAUGUUAUUUCAUAUUAAUUGUUUAUAUACUCAUUGAAUUGAUCAAAUACACAAGGUGUUGGGAAUUCUGUACUUUGGCUAACAAAAAAAUCUCCUUCCUCAUAGAGGUUACAAAAGCAUUUGUGAUUAAUCUGAUCAAGUACAAUUAGAGACAGCUCUAACUCGUCUAAAAGAAAAUUUAGGUUCCUGUUAUAUGCCUUGGUAUGUGAAGACUCUAGCCUCUACCAAGUUAAUUUCAUAGAUUUUGUAUUUGCCCUUGCCUAACAAUUAGCAUUACUUUUCAAAUCAAACCUGUUGGCUUGUGUUAAAAACCCAUCAGUUCCUCUCCACCACUUCUCAAGAACCAUCCAAAGCUUUGGUCUAACAUAUGGC
rnacentral:lncRNA from 1 species